ensembl:lncRNA
CUUGUAAAUGUGGUAGUUCCCGGAAAGUUAAGGAUCGGAGUUUAUCCAUGUGUCAAUAUUGGUUGGUUGGUUACGUUAACGAAACCACUAUACGUCAAGAUUCAUACUGCAACAUUCCUCUGUCCCGGAGGAGAGGCUCUCCGCCCCGGUCAUCAAGAAUUUCAACUCGGGGGUCGUCUAAUGAUGUAACAACAAGAAGGAAGGAAGAAAAAAAAAAAACAAUGUUUGUUAGUCAUCCAGAAGGAAAAAAAAAAAAAAAGUUUAAUAUGAAACUAUUAUCUUGAGUACGGGUGAGGAUUCUUUUGAUGGUUUUUUUUUUUUUUGUUGUUGUUUUUCCUCUAUUUUUUGUUUUUGAUAUUUUGUAUAGAAAUGGUGUGUGUGCGGAGUGCUGUUUGAGCUGAGAGGAGCGAAUGCUACAUAUGAGUGCCCUGUGAGCGCCUCUUUCCAAUCACCCGCGGGAGGCGAGUCUACAGUCUUGGAACAUAAGAGUCUGGCUGGACCAAACGCCACCCAUUUUUCUUGGCGGCUCUUUCUUAUCUGUCCAGUUUUUGACAGAAAGUUUUUCUGGUUCUCUUUCUCUCCACUGAAAAAAAAAAAGAAUGGUGGUUGUACCGCCAUUAGUCCACCCCUUGUAACUGAGGUUUUUUUUUAAUUAUUUCACUCCUCAGUGUUGUUUUUUUUUUUCAUCCUGCUUUCUCUGACCUUUAUCUGUUUCUUUUUCUAUUUCUCUGCCCUUUGUUGUCAGUCUGCCACAUGUUGUUCUUCUUUUUUAAAUGUGGUCAGGUGUUUUGCAACAGGGGGCAUUGCCAGAUUCCUGUGUUCAAAGUUAGACUCAGCCCCCUCCUCGGAACUCACUGGUGGAGAAUGACUGAGUAGAAAAUGUACUGUGAUAUUUUUGUAUUCUUCAAAGUGUAGCUUGAUUGAAAAAGUAUAUAUAUAAAUAUAUAUAAAAAAACUGUGCUGAUUGCAAGCGGAUGUAAUUUAGGAUAAGGAAGAAAAAACAAAACAAAAAAAGAUAAACAUAAAGCAAUAUUGAAAUGUAGAGUUUACUUAAUAAAGAUAAUUCAG